AUAUUGACUGUGCAAAGGUAGCAUAAUCAUUAGUCUUUUAAUUGGGGACUGGUAUGAAUGGUUUAACGAAGUAUUAACUGUCUCAUUUUAAUAAGUUGAAAUUAACUUUUAAGUCAAAAGGCUUAAAUAAAGUUAGAGGACGAGAAGACCCUAUAGAGCUUUAUAAAUUUAAUAUAAAAUAUAAUUUGGUAGUUUUAUUAAUUUAUGUAUAGAAUUUAUUUUAUUGGGGUGAUAUAAAGAUUUAAUAAACUCUUUAUAAUAAUUGAACAUUAAUAUAUGAAUGAUUGAUCCAUUUUUAGUGAUUAUAAGAUUAAGUUACCUUAGGGAUAACAGCGUAAUGUUUUUUGAGAGUUCUUAUCAACAAAAAAGAUUGCGACCUCGAUGUUGGAUUAAGGAAAAGGUUGGG
rnacentral:rRNA from 1 species